AAGGUUAAGCCUCACGGUUCAUUAGUACCGGUUAGCUCAACGCAUCGCUGCGCUUACACACCCGGCCUAUCAACGUCGUCGUCUUCAACGUUCCUUCAGGACCCUUAAAGGGUCAGGGAGAACUCAUCUCGGGGCAAGUUUCGUGCUUAGAUGCUUUCAGCACUUAUCUCUUCCGCAUUUAGCUACCGGGCAGUGCCAUUGGCAUGACAACCCGAACACCAGUGAUGCGUCCACUCCGGUCCUCUCGUACUAGGAGCAGCCCCCCUCAGUUCUCCAGCGCCCACGGCAGAUAGGGACCGAACUGUCUCACGACGUUCUAAACUCAGCUCGCGUACCACUUUAAAUGGCGAACAGCCAUACCCUUGGGACCUACUUCAGCCCCAGGAUGUGAUGAGCCGACAUCGAGGUGCCAAACACCGCCGUCGAUAUGAACUCUUGGGCGGUAUCAGCCUGUUAUCCCCGGAGUACCUUUUAUCCGUUGAGCGAUGGCCCUUCCAUUCAGAACCACCGGAUCACUAUGACCUGCUUUCGCACCUGCUCGCGCCGUCACGCUCGCAGUCAAGCUGGCUUAUGCCAUUGCACUAACCUCCUGAUGUCCGACCAGGAUUAGCCAACCUUCGUGCUCCUCCGUUACUCUUUAGGAGGAGACCGCCCCAGUCAAACUACCCACCAGACACUGUCCGCAACCCGGAUCACGGGUCCACGUUAGAACAUCAAACAUUAAAGGGUGGUAUUUCAAGGUCGGCUCCAUGCAGACUGGCGUCCACACUUCAAAGCCUCCCACCUAUCCUACACAUCAAGGCUCAAUGUUCAGUGUCAAGCUAUAGUAAAGGUUCACGGGGUCUUUCCGUCUUGCCGCGGGUACACUGCAUCUUCACAGCGAGUUCAAUUUCACUGAGUCUCGGGUGGAGACAGCCUGGCCAUCAUUACGCCAUUCGUGCAGGUCGGAACUUACCCGACAAGGAAUUUCGCUACCUUAGGACCGUUAUAGUUACGGCCGCCGUUUACCGGGGCUUCGAUCAAGAGCUUCGCUUGCGCUAACCCCAUCAAUUAACCUUCCGGCACCGGGCAGGCGUCACACCGUAUACGUCCACUUUCGUGUUUGCACAGUGCUGUGUUUUUAAUAAACAGUUGCAGCCAGCUGGUAUCUUCGACUGAUUUCAGCUCCACGAGCAAGUCGCUUCACCUACGUAUCAGCGUGCCUUCUCCCGAAGUUACGGCACCAUUUUGCCUAGUUCCUUCACCCGAGUUCUCUCAAGCGCCUUGGUAUUCUCUACCUGACCACCUGUGUCGGUUUGGGGUACGAUUUGAUGUUACCUGAUGCUUAGAGGCUUUUCCUGGAAGCAGGGCAUUUGUUGCUUCAGCACCGUAGUGCCUCGUCAUCACGCCUCGGCCUUGAUUUUCCGGAUUUGCCUGGAAAACCAGCCUACACGCUUAAACCGGGACAACCGUCGCCCGGCCAACAUAGCCUUCUCCGUCCCCCCUUCGCAGUAACACCAAGUACAGGAAUAUUAACCUGUUUCCCAUCGACUACGCCUUUCGGCCUCGCCUUAGGGGUCGACUCACCCUGCCCCGAUUAACGUUGGACAGGAACCCUUGGUCUUCCGGCGAGCGGGCUUUUCACCCGCUUUAUCGUUACUUAUGUCAGCAUUCGCACUUCUGAUACCUCCAGCAUACCUCACAGCACACCUUCACAGGCUUACAGAACGCUCCCCUACCCAACAACGCAUAAGCGUCGCUGCCGCAGCUUCGGUGCAUGGUUUAGCCCCGUUACAUCUUCCGCGCAGGCCGACUCGACCAGUGAGCUAUUACGCUUUCUUUAAAUGAUGGCUGCUUCUAAGCCAACAUCCUGGCUGUCUGGGCCUUCCCACAUCGUUUCCCACUUAACCAUGACUUUGGGACCUUAGCUGGCGGUCUGGGUUGUUUCCCUCUUCACGACGGACGUUAGCACCCGCCGUGUGUCUCCCGUGAUAACAUUCUCCGGUAUUCGCAGUUUGCAUCGGGUUGGUAAGUCGGGAUGACCCCCUUGCCGAAACAGUGCUCUACCCCCGGAGAUGAAUUCACGAGGCGCUACCUAAAUAGCUUUCGGGGAGAACCAGCUAUCUCCCGGUUUGAUUGGCCUUUCACCCCCAGCCACAAGUCAUCCGCAAUUUUUCUAACAUUAGUCGGUUCGGUCCUCCAGUUAGUGUUACCCAACCUUCAACCUGCCCAUGGCUAGAUCACCGGGUUUCGGGUCUAUACCCUGCAACUUAACGCCCAGUUAAGACUCGGUUUCCCUUCGGCUCCCCUAUUCGGUUAACCUUGCUACAGAAUAUAAGUCGCUGACCCAUUAUACAAAAGGUACGCAGUCACACGCCUAAGCGUGCUCCCACUGCUUGUACGUACACGGUUUCAGGUUCUUUUUCACUCCCCUCGCCGGGGUUCUUUUCGCCUUUCCCUCACGGUACUGGUUCACUAUCGGUCAGUCAGGAGUAUUUAGCCUUGGAGGAUGGUCCCCCCAUAUUCAGACAGGAUACCACGUGUCCCGCCCUACUCAUCGAGCUCACAGUAUGUGCAUUUUUGUGUACGGGGCUGUCACCCUGUAUCGCACGCCUUUCCAGACGCUUCCACUAACACACACACUGAUUCAGGCUCUGUGGCUGCUCCCGUUCGCUCGCCGCUACUGGGGGAAUUCUCGGUUUGAUUUCUUUUCCUCAGGGUACUUAGAUGUUUCAGUUCCCCGGUUCGCCUCAUUAACCUAUGGAUUCAGUUAAUGAUAGUGUGACGAAUCACACUGGGUUUCCCCAUUCGGAAAUCGCCGGUUAUAACGGUUCAUAUCACCUUACCGACGCUUAUCGCAGAUUAGCACGUCCUUCAUCGCCUCUGACUGCCAGGGCAUCCACCGUGUACGCUUAGUCGCUUAA
rnacentral:rRNA from 1 species